GGCGCGGAGGAGCCAACGGGCCGGUCUCAGCAGGGCCGCCAUGGCUCCGCCGUCCCCACCGUACGCUGCACGCUGGGCAAGGAUGGGGGAGCACGUGACCACGGGGUCGUCCGGCGCGGGAGAGACCAAAGGCCGGGCGCGCCAGACGUAGGGGGAGGCACGUGUUGUUAUAACUUGGAAGAUUGAAAAACCUGUUUCUCCCAGGACAUAUGAUCCCCACGAGAUAUGUGCAUUACAAGGUAGCUUGAUAUAUCAUUCCACGGAGCGUCUCUUUCCUUCACGUCAGCAUGUUCAGUCUCUCCACCCCUUCACUUUUCAGUUGGUAGAGUCGGAAGAGGUCGACUCCUCCCAGGUUCGCGCAAGGGCUUGCGGGGGGCCAACUAGCGAGAACACCCGGGAACUCUCGAGAAGAGCCGACUGUGAAGAACCCGGAGUUGGGACUUUUCUCUGCAGAGUGCGGGAGUUGUAGCCAACGUUACGCGGUUCCCGCUCCAAGCCGAAGAUGCCGCGCCUACUGAGAGGAACGUACUAUAGUCAGAAGUGUGGGACAGGAAGAACGUUAAGGACCUUUGCACUGUGCUAGGGGCCUCCAAGGUUAAAUGUGAUGUGAUUUGUGUGCUUGGGGCCAGGGGACAGUGUAAAGGUAUACGGAGGUACAACUUUUAAGUCCAUGAGCAGUGCCUUGCUUUAUGAAAUGGAUGGAUUAUAACGAAGGUCGUAUAGUUUUAAAGCUGGCGGUGAACGCAUUAUAUUCCCCAACUCCCACCCCACCCAUUCCUUCAGUAAAUGCACCAGCAAGAUAACAGUAUACUUAAGAGUCCUGAAAAAAAAAAGUCCUGAGCCAAGUCUGGGGAUAAAAUAGGAGGCCCCCAGCCUUACGACCUGGAAGGGUACCCUGUGCAUGUAAAUCAACUUAAAAGAGUUUUUGCAUAUUAUAUAUGUAAAUUUGGGUUCCAAGUUCCCAAGUUACCCAAAGGUUUCGAUUCAUAAACAUAACUUUUAAAACUACUGUAAUAUGCCAUCUCAGUUUGUAAAAACACUAAUUGAUAGUCAAGUUAUGUAUGUAUUUUCAAACACAAUUCAGAGCAGCUUUCUCAGCAAAGUUUUGCCGGUUCAGUGUCUGUUGGGGCAAUCGGAGUUACGUGGGAAGCCGAGAACAGGCUUCAAGUACAGACAACUCUCCAGCGCCCUCUUCACCUAGCUGUAUUCUAAGCAUUCCCAGGUGAAAGCUCAGAAGUUUUUUCCGGAAGCCGGACAAGGAGCUCCUUGAAAGCAGGAACCGUGCGACCUUUUCCUGUGGCGGAAGCACCUACCCAGUGCCAAGCACACGACCUUGCUCAACUUCAGUCCAUGAAGCUGCUUGCUGUGCAUGUCAGUUUGCCAUCCAGGAACUACCAGGAGGUAGAGAUCAAUUAACACAGGUGGAGCAAUGGCUUAUGGAAUGACAAAGUUUGGGACUCACUCACUUAACUGAAGAUACCCCAGCCUAGAAGAAGGACGAGGAGAAAAGGCAAUGGCCCCAAAGGUGCAGAAAGCCCAAAGAAAGCUUCCAAGUACUGUUCUUGCCUUCUUUUUCUUUUGAUCCUCUCUCCCCAUAGGGUGGCUUUUUUUUUUUUUGAAGCACACUUUUCCAAGUUGUUACAUUAACAAAUUUGCACUGAUUUCUUUAUCCUUGUCAUCUAAAGACCACCUUGUUGGCGAAUGGUGAACUUUUCCUUUAUGCCAGGUCUGCUGCACUGUCUAAUGUCACAAGUGUCUGCUCACAUUAGCUCCCGGAGACUGGAGGAGAUUCUGCAUAGUGCCUUUCCAGCAAGUUGAUUUGACAGAAUGAGUCCCCAUGCUAGCUCAUGGCACUUAUCAGUUAGUCAACUUUCCUCGGGGAGGAGAAUUUAGAGUGCACCAUAUUCAGUUUCCAAAUCAACUGCUGUCCCCUCAGGAAGCUGUGUGUUGCAUUAUUAAAAGAGAUGCCUUCAACUACAGCACCAUACUUAAACAUUCAUCCACAUUAAAAAAAAAAAGAAGAAGAAGCAGGAAUGAGGCAGGCAGCACCACAAUUCCCCACACUUUUCACUGUUAACUCUUUCUCCCCAGGUUUUAAGUCUCCCUCUUUGAACAGUCCUGUAACUUUUAUUGGUGAGCAUGAACAGUGUGAUUUUGUGACUGUUACCUUUACAUAAAGUGGGGGUGUUUUUGCAUUACUUAGGCUGGCUAUAAUCCCUGAGCUCCAAUAGCAAAGUUAAAUCCAAAAAUCUAGCUGCCGGAAACGGCAACAACUUAGAUUUAUCUGUUACCUACCUCUCCCACGAGUUCAAAUGAAAAGCAGGAAUUAGUUCUGAGUUGAAGAUGAACAGAUUCGAAGCUCACACUUUCAUAAUUAUAACUUCAGAUAUUUCUAAUUUUUUAAAACAACAAAAUUUGUGGCCAGUUUAUCUUUAUCGUUCCAAAAGAGAAAUCGACAAGAUUGCUGGAGAAAAGGAGGGAUCCUUUUUAAAGCUGCACGUUGCUAUAAAUAUGAAAAUGGAUUAAACUCUGCUUCCAAUUUCCAAACUUGUGUACUUCAAUGAAUAUUAAAUGACAGGACCCUAUCAUCAUCAUGACUUAUUUACUCACCAGAGUUUUUAUCAAAAAGGGACUGGAAUUGCCCGUGGAGCCUGAAAGUCUCCUGUAAUUGCGUUUAGAGUGGUAAAUCCACUAAGCAGGCCACGGCCCCAGAGACACCCCUGAAACCCACCUGUCAGCUGGUGUUAGAUCACAACUCAAACAAGGCAUGGCUGCCUGCUCCUGCGAAAUGCUGAUGUGGCCCAAAACAAAAAAAAGAGAAGUCAUUUCCCCAGGGAUGAGGGAGGACUGGGGGCAAAUCAUGGGGGUUGGGAGGGCAAGAGAAAAUCUCUCAUCUAACAGCUGCCUGAUGUCAGCUGGAAUCAUGAUCUGAAACUCAGCUUGGGAGGGGAACUGGCCAGGGCCUCAUUCGGUAAGGUGUCAUUUCUUUAUUUCAACAUCCGUUAGGUAGGAGCGUAAUGGAGUGGACAAGAAGCUUUUUCAUCACGGAUGAGCCAUAGAAAACAAAGCCCAGAGUUUCAGUGAGGAUAGAGAUACAACAGGCUUAGGACUGAUGCAGAAAAUUUCACAUCCGAAAAUGGAGGAAACUGUCCAGCUGAGAGCGGCUGGACCAGUCAGGGAUGGGAGCAGGAACAUUUUAAGCCAAAGGACUAUCAUUCAGCCAAUAAAUGUUUGUUUACUAGUGCUAAUUACUGUAUCAGUUGCUGAAUAUAUCAAAAGAAAUAAGACUCGGAGUUCACGGGUUUUUGAGCACGAGCCACCCUGUUCUUCUUGCUUGGCCCUGCAAUAAACCUUUCUCUGCUCCAAACUCUGACAAAAAUAAAUAAGUAAUUAAAUAAAUAAGACAUAGUCCUUGCUCUGGAGGAACUUAAAAUGUAGUUGGGGAGACAUGCAGAUAAGUCAACUAUUACAAUACAGCGUCUGUCAAGGGCUAUGAGAGCAAAAAUAUGUGCCUGAAACAAUAAGUAAGGAGAAGGUGACAUUUAAGCUGGGUUUUUCAGAAUAAGUAAGGUUUAGCCAGGCAAAGGAGAAUAGGGUGUGUGGGGAUGGCAGUACGAGUAAGAAGCUCUUGCUGUAUGGAGGAGAUACAUGAUCAAAAGGAUCAGAGUGAUAGUCUUAUAGGGCUCCCAGAGGCUCGAUGUGACUGGAUCAUCUCUCAGGACUAACAGAUUAGAUGCUGAGAGAGAUGGGACUAGAGAGGGGGAGAGAGAAGCCAAAAGAUCAAGGAGUUUUGUCAGCCUGGCUAAUAAGUUUAUCCUGAAAGCCAUGGGGAGCAAUGGAAUGAAAGAAUUUUAAGCAGGGGAGUGGUGUGGUCAGGUUUACCUUUUAGAAAGACUAGUUUACCUGUUGUGCACAGCACGUAUUAGAAGGGGCAAGGCUGGAAAUAGGAAGGCCAUGAAGGAAGCCAUACAGAAGUAUCUGAGAGAGGGGGUGAUGGCCCACACCAGGGAAAGCGCAGUGGAGGGGGAGGGGACAGAUUGAGAAAUACUGUAGAAAAGAAUCAGCAGUAUUUGGAAGACAAUUCAAAAUGGGAAAAGAGGGAGGUAUUCAGGAUGGCUUCAAGGCUUCUGGCUUCGGUUUAGGGUUGCUAGAUUCAUCAAAUAAAAAUGCAUGCAAUAUUGGGACAUAUUGAUACCAAAAAUAUAACUCCUUGUUUAUUUUUUUUUUGGCUGUACCACAAGGCUUGUAGGAUCUUAGUUCUCCAACCAGGGAUUGAACCUGCACCCUCAGCAGUGAAAGCUUGGAGUCCUAACCACUGGACCACCACGGAAUUCCCAAAUGAUUCCUUGUUUAACUGAAAUGUAAAUUUAACUGGGAAUCCUUUAUUUAAUCUGGCAAACCUACUUAGGUGACUGGAUAAAUGUUGGGUCAUUUAUCAAGCUGGGGAUUAGAGGAGGAGACAUAGACAUGGGAGAGGGGGCCAAGAAGAUGAGGAGUUUACUUCUAUUUAUAUUGAGUUUCAGAUAUCCAAGGGAUAUAUCUGACUUCUGAUUAACCCCCAAUACCUUUCUGCCCUUCUUCUGCAAAGAUAGUGUUAGCUGGCACAUGGCCACUCAGCUAAAGACUUUACUUCCCAUCUUCCCUUGCAGAGAUCGGCCAUGUGACCACACUCUGGCCAAUAGGAUGUGAGAAAAAGUGAUGUGUGUCUUUUUUUUUUAAGAUAAUGCAUAUAAUUUGUAAUUUUAUUUUAUUUUUUAAAUUAAUUUUUA